AGAAGAAGCAGCUGGCACUCACACAAGAGACCGACAAAUUGGAGAGCGCAGUGAGCUAUCAUUGUUGCCGUCGCAUCUACUGUUGUUGUUGUAGCGGAUGCUGUUGUUGUGGGAGCAAAAAUAUUUUAACGCAAUUAGAGACCGAAGCAUCGUCGUGGCAUCAGAUCCAGAGCGAACGCGCACGCAGAUGGACACGGUGCACGGAUAAAAUCAAAUAGAAGCCGUAACACGCAGCACAGUGUUUUUGUAUGUGAAUGCCUGAAACUCCAUAAACCCAGUUUUGCAAAAAACGUGGUGAAACGUGCGCCAACGAGUGAGUUAGUGAGUGAGUGAAAUCAUAGUAAAUGCAAAGCGACUCAAUUAACUGUGAAAUCCAGCUGCAUCAAGAACAAACUAUGAGGUGUGAAGAAUAAGUGAGCGGGAUAGCGAAAGUGAGAGCGAGCAAGAUAGACGAGCGCAAACAAUUUGUUGAAUACUGCUGCGUUCGCACUAGCGACCGAAAGAAAGCAAAAGUGAAGAAUAUCACACAAACACGCACACAAACAAACAGGCGCGCUCACAGACACACACUCACACACAUUAAGAACUCUGUAAUGCGUGUAUUUGUGUAACUACUUAAUACAGAUGCAAAUACAAAAUUUCAAUAUACACACGCACACAUAGGAAAGCGCAAAAAAGAGUGCUGCCAACUAAAGUUGAGUGGAAAAAAACCUCAGCAAAGCCCAGCAAGAUUGGCGGCGCAUAAGUUAAAAGGACAAAGACGAUUAAACAGCUUCGCUGUCGGCGACAGCGGGAGCAGCAGGGACAGCGGUAACGGUAACGACAGCGGCAGCAGCAGCGACAGCAUCAGUACGAAAGGGAUGUAUCUAAGUAAAACUUGGGAAGCAGAGUUUUACUGUUAGCUGGCAAUAUAAUAAACGCGUGUGUUUAUGUAAAUAUUUGGCACAGAGCGCGGAGGCGAGGCGGCGUAGGAGCAACAGCAGGACGCGAUUGACGACAUUGUUGCUGUGCGGCGGAUAGCGCGUUUAGUGUAUAAUAUUUGAAAUCAAAGCGAAAGGGUAUGAACAUGUCGGUGCGGCUCUGUAUCAAGCACAAGAUUCACAUGCGCACCACGGCUG
rnacentral:sRNA from 1 species